rnacentral:misc_RNA from 1 species
UCAGCAAACAUCAUUUGAUGCAAUCUUCUCUCUGUAUGUGUGACUGCCAUUGAGACUGAUGUUUUGGCACUCCUAAUGUCAUUAUCCCCCUUCAGAACAUUCCUUAAGCGAGCCUCAAUUCUAUCAAUUUGUUGUGUGUCCUCGAUUGGGGACCCUGAAUUGCAGUCCUUUACAUGAAUUAAUGAAGCAAUUCGGCCAUUGUGAGUCCAAACUUUAGCCUCCACCACAUCACAUUGCAGGUCAGCUAACACUGCAAAGACCUCCGAAAGAAGGCCGAUCCUGUCUGUGCCCGUUAGUUCUAAUGCUGUUAAGCCGCUAAAAUCAUGGGUUCUGCCAUAAUGAAUGGUACCAAGUGACUGCUCAAUGUAGUCAAUAACGCUCGCGUCUGUCAGUUUAUUUCCGUUCAGAUCAGUCACAUGAAAAACAUCCAUGAACC